rnacentral:rRNA from 1 species
AUCCUACGGGACGCAGCAGUGGGGAAUAUUGGGCAAUGGGCGCAAGCCUGACCCAGCAACGCCGCGUGAAGGAAGAAGGCUUUCGGGUUGUAAACUUCUUUUCUGAGGGACGAAGAAAGUGACGAUACCUCAGGAAUAAGCCACGGCUAACUACGUGACAGCAGCCGCGGUAAUACGCAGGUGGCGAGCGUUAUCCGGAUUUAUUGAGCGUAAAGGGCGUGUAGGCGGGAAAGCAAGUCAGAUGUGAAAAUUUAGGG